rnacentral:snRNA from 1 species
AGCAGGAGCUGGCUGCAAUAUCUAUCAUCCCAUUGAUCACCAGAGUUGAUUCAAGUGCUCUGGCUAGCUAGGCAGGUGUCCCCUUCCUCCUCCCUCAUUGCUCUAUGUGCAUCCCUCUUCUUGAAGCUGCAUGUUCAAUGGAAGAGGACAACCAUCCCAGAUAGGAGUGUACCAAUCUUCGGUCAAUGGUAUAUGAUAGCUACGCUCCCGGCUAGAACCUCCAAACAAAUCAAUUAAUAAUUAAUUGAUUAAUAAUUAAUUAAUAAGCCAUAUAAAAUUGUCAUUCUAAAUAUGCUUACCUGGGAAUAAGUCCCACUGAAAAU